rnacentral:rRNA from 1 species
CGGGAGGCAGCAGUGGGGAAUAUUGCACAAUGGGCGCAAGCCUGAUGCAGCCAUGCCGCGUGUGUGAAGAAGGCCUUCGGGUUGUAAAGCACUUUCAGUCGUGAGGAAGGUGGUGUCGUUAAUAGCGGCAUUAUUUGACGUUAGCGACAGAAGAAGCACCGGCUAACUCCGUGCCAGCAGCCGCGGUAAUACGGAGGGUGCGAGCGUUAAUCGGAAUUACUGGGCGUAAAGCGCAUGCAGGUGGUUUGUUAAGUCAGAUGUGAAAGCCCGGGGCUCAACCUCGGAAUAGCAUUUGAAACUGGCAGACUAGAGUACUGUAGAGGGGGGUAGAAUUUCAGGUGUAGCGGUGAAAUGCGUAGAGAUCUGAAGGAAUACCGGUGGCGAAGGCGGCCCCCUGGACAGAUACUGACACUCAGAUGCGAAAGCGUGGGGAGCAAACAGGAUUAGAUACCCUGGUAGUCCACGCCGUAAACGAUGUCUACUUGGAGGUUGUGGCCUUGAGCCGUGGCUUUCGGAGCUAACGCGUUAAGUAGACCGCCUGGGGAGUACGGUCGCAAGAUUAAAACUCAAAUGAAUU